CCGGGAGCGGCGGGGCCCGGCCCGGUUCGUCCCCGCCAUGUGGUUCAUCUACGCCUUGAGUUGGCUGUCCUUGCUCAUCCAGGUGGCUUUCGUCACCCUGGCGAUCGCUGCUGGGCUGUACUACCUGGCGGAGCUGAUCGAGGAGUACACGGUUGUCACCAGGAGGAUAAUCAAAUACAUGAUCUGGUUCUCCUCGGCCGUGCUGGUCGGCCUCUACCUCUUCGAACACUUUCCUGGUUUCAUGGUGGGCGUGGGGCUCUUCACCAAUCUGGUCUACUUCGGUUUGCUGCAGACCUUCCCCUUCAUCAUCCUGACAUCCUCCAAUUUCAUACUGUCCUGCGGAUGCUGUCUGUGUAUGACUAAAAUACCUUUGCUCCUCAAAGCAUUCACGAAGGCAGGAUUUUAUCCGCUACUUGAAAAUGAGUGUAGCUUUCCCAUGGCGCAUAGAUCAGGAGCUGCGUUUUCUGGCAGAUCCAGACUCUCAUCUGGAUCUUUGGUGACGUCUUUAGGCUGGAGAGGACGAUAAAGCAGCAUGGGACACAGCAUUUUGUGUCGGGGCUGUCUCCCACUGGGGCUCUACUGACCUGGUGCUCCUGGGCUGGGGCUGCUGUCUUGGCAUCUGAAAUAAAAGGCUAAAGAAGCUCCAAUUCCUGCCUCUUAAGAGCUAAGUGGUGUUUUUCACUGCUGGGGACAGUGUUAGCCCUACUGUCCUGGCUGCAUUUCAGCUUGACUUGGUUUACAGAUGGCAGAAGAGCUUCUCUUCGCAGCAGCUGUCGGGGAUGCGGGGUUUUUCGCUUCUCAUCUCAGCGCUGCGCAGCAUUAGCAAGUGUCAGGCUGGGCUUUCCAGGGUGCCCUCGGGGACACGGAGCAUAAAGCACUGGAGGGACGAGGGACUCAACCGGGGCUGCACAGAGUAACAAACUGCAGCUGGGACCCGGGGGACUCUGGCUGCUCACACUAUUUCUCACUAGAUGCGAGAAAAUAUUUUAGCAACAACAAGAUUCCAGGUGUACAGGGGCUGCGGGGAAGGGGCUGCGCGGCAGGGAGGAACUGCUCCUCGCAGGGGCUGUGGCAGCAGAGGCGGAUGUCCUCUUUCGGGGGCCUUGGAAUAUGCCAAUGGUAUUUCUUCCAGGCUGGAGACUGACUUUGCUGUGUUUUUCUUUGGCAGUGCUGGUUAUAUUCAAUCACUACUUAGCGUUCCAGUACUUCGCUGAAGAGUAUUACCUGUUCUCUGAGGUUCUCGCCUACUUCACAUUCUGCCUGUGGU